UUCAGGCUUUGUUUUUUCUGCUGAGACAGGCAUAGAGGCUGGAGCUCACAGUCUGACAUUCUCCCCUGUGCUGUGGAGCCAGGCAGAUAAUAUUAUGUGUGGGUUAUGCCCAGUUUCCCAUCCUCCCACCUCAUAUUCUGGAGAAGUAAUGACAUCUCUUUUCCUCCUGCUCAAGAAGGCAUUCUGUAGGGUUAUUUCUGGACACAGUAAUCCUUCAGCAAUACAAUUACCAAGUUAUUCAACAUGGAAGGCUUUGCCAAGACAGUGGUGGCUGGGAUUUGACCCUCUAAGUGUGAGCUUCAGUUCUACAUGUUGGAAUAGAUCAUCUGGACCCUCUGGAUUCUGGUCCUGUACUGACCUUCAAGCUGUCUCUUUCAGCUUUCUGUGCUGAGGCAGAAAAGAGGAAAGCUGGACCACACCCAGCCAGGACUACACGUGCAGGUAGUACACAGGAAUUGGGAAUGUGCGUUUGGGCUGGCAGUAUUGCUCUGUGUGGUUGGCAGAAGGAGGCACCAUUCACAUUGAAAACUAGGAAUACGCAGGAGCUAUUGUUGGGUUACCAUUCCAGAAGUAGUUUCCAUCCAUGGUGCUUCCUCUGUCCAGGAAACCUCCCCAAAGAGGCCUACGCCCUCCCUUACUUGCAGUACUCCAUAGCAGAGCAGGAGUCUACUCAGUCCACCCUGGCGUCUGAAAAUGCACAUGUGCUCACACCUAAAGCACAAGAAGCACAAAAACAAUCCAGUUAGAAACACUUGUCACUCAUAUUCUCACCAUUCUGAUAAUAACCAUUGAUAAUUGUAGAUAAAAGUCACAAAUUUACCAACUUAGUGAGAGAUUAUAACACACUAUCAGUAUUUGAUAGAUCAAACUAACAAAAAUUAAGAAGGAUAGAGAAGAUGUGAACAAAAUUAACAAGCUGAUUUUAUAUACAGUGGAUCCAACAAUUUAAAAAAUUUAUUUUCUGUCCACAAGAAGCAUCUAGGAAAUACAGCAACCAAAAGCCAUAAACCAUUUCAUAAUAAAUAUCAAUAAAUAACAAACAUUUGUACCACCUACAAUGUUUUCUAAUUAUAAUGCAGUUAUAUUAGAAAUGAAUACAAAAAGAAAAUUAAGACAAACAUCACAUACAUUAAAAAUUUUUUAAUUUCACCAAUAGACAUCAAACACAUUUUUGGAAAUUUCCACAGAUAUCAAUAAUAAAUAUUUUAGAGAGUAGAAAUAGUCUUUUUAUUAAAAUAAUUAAAAUGUAAGCAUAUGAAAAGAAAUCAGGAAAUACUAAUUUGUACCUCAGUGAGAUUCCAUCACACACCUAUUAGUAUGACUAAAAUUAAAAAGAGUGAUAAUAUCAAAUGUUGCCAAGUAACAUUUGUGAAGUUGUAAAGUAACUGAAACAGUCAUAUACUGCCUGUGGUCCUAUAAAUCAAACUAUUUAAAAACUUAACAUUACCUAUUCAACUUGAACAUAAACACAUGACCAAAUGAUUCCAUUCCUAAGCACAUACAAAUCUGAAAUUCAGAAGUAUAUCAAAAAAUAUGUAUUAGAAUGUUUACAGAAACAUUAUUCAUAAUUGCCCCACAAAUAAUCAUGUGCUCAUAAACAUCAAAAUGGAUCAAUAAGUUGUGAUUUAUUCAUAUAUUGGACUAUUUUGUGCAAUAAUGGUAUAAGAUACCAGCAGAGUGGUUACCUUCAGAAAAGAGGAACAGUAGCCAUUGGAGAGGGCAUGAAAGGGCUUUUUGGGUAGAGGUACUGUUGCAUUUCUUGAUCAAGGUUGUAUCAACAUGGAUAUGCUUAGUUCAUGAUAAUUAAUUGAGUGUAUAUUUAUGUUUGUGCACCUUCUUUAUGCCUAUUUUAUAUGCUCUUAUAAAAUAUGCCCAUAUUAAAAAUUUGAGAGUAAAUUUUGAGAAUAAAAAUUUGAGAGUAUGGCAGAUCAGCCUAUUGAUCCUUUAUUUUCAUCUAGUUGAGUCUUUUUACUGCCAGUCUCUAUUCCUCCAGAAAAUAUCACAAGCCACAAAAAUACUCUCUUCAGAAAAAUGUUUAUAAAUUGACUUCUGGCAGUAUGUUAGUCUGGUUAUCUAGAAUAACCCUUCAGAUAAAAUAACUCACAAUGGUGAAUUAGAUAUUAAUCAGUAUAUUUUAAAUGCAUUAUUGAUACUUCUACAUCUGUGUAAAAUUGAAUUACUUAUAGCAGACAAAUACUUUAAGAACAAGAAAAAAAAUUCAAUAAAUGCAAAAUUUAUCUCUUAAAAAGUCAUUAGAAAACCACUGAAGAAAUGAGGGCUUGUGGGAUAAAAAUUGUGGACAGUUUUUAUAUCUAUAGUUUGUUAUACAUAAUGUCUAGCAUUCAGUAAAAACUUACUAGACAUGUUGUUAAAUAGGUUUGUAUAACUGAAAACUAAGAAAUAGAUGGAGCUGGAGGUCAUUAUGUUAAAUGAAAUAAUCCAGGAACAGAAGGA
rnacentral:lncRNA from 1 species